UACGUAGGGGGCGAGCGUUGUCCGGAUUUAUUGGGCGUAAAGAGCUCGUAGGCGGUUCGAUAAGUCAGGUGUAAAAACUCCAGGCUCAACUUGGAGAGGCCACCUGAUACUGUCGUGACUAGAGUCCGGUAGAGGAGCACGGAAUUCCUGGUGUAGCGGUGAAAUGCGCAGAUAUCAGGAGGAACACCAGCGGCGAAGGCGGUGCUCUGGGCCGGAACUGACGCUGAGGAGCGAAAGCGUGGGGAGCAAACAGG
rnacentral:rRNA from 1 species